rnacentral:rRNA from 1 species
GACGAACGCUGGCGGCGUGCUUAACACAUGCCAGUCGAACGGAAAGGCCCUGCUUUUGUGGGGUGCUCGAGUGGCGAACGGGUGAGUAACACGUGAGUAACCUGCCCUUGACUUUGGGAUAACUUCAGGAAACUGGGGCUAAUACCGGAUAGGAGCUCCUGCUGCAUGGUGGGGGUUGGAAAGUUUCGGCGGUUGGGGAUGGACUCGCGGCUUAUCAGCUUGUUGGUGGGGUAGUGGCUUACCAAGGCUUUGACGGGUAGCCGGCCUGAGAGGGUGACCGGCCACAUUGGGACUGAGAUACGGCCCAGACUCCUACGGGAGGCAGCAGUGGGGAAUAUUGCACAAUGGGCGGAAGCCUGAUGCAGCAACGCCGCGUGCGGGAUGACGGCCUUCGGGUUGUAAGCCGCUUUCGCCUGUGACGAAGCGUGAGUGACGGUAAUGGGUAAAGAAGCACCGGCUAACUACGU